AGUGAACGCUGGCGGCGUGCUUAACACAUGCAAGUCGAACGAGAAACGGAUUUAGCUUGCUAAAUUGCAGUCUAAGUGGCGCACGGGUGAGUAAUGUAUAGGUAAUAUGCCUCUUACUAAGGGAUAACAAUUGGAAACGAUUGCUAAUACCUUAUAUGCCUUUAAUACGAAAGUAUGCAAGGGAACGAUUUAUUGGUAAGAGAUUAGCCUGUAUGGUAUCAGCUUGUUGGUGAAGUAAUGGCUCACCAAGGCUAUGACGCCUAAAUGGUUUGAGAGGAAGAUCAGUCGCACUGGAACGGAGACACGGUCCAGACUCCUACGGGAGGCAGCAGUGGGGAAUAUUGCACAAUGGACGAAAGUCUGAUGCAGCAACGCCGCGUGGAGGAUGACACAUUUCGGUGCGUAAACUCCUUUUAUAUAGGAAGAUAAUGACGGUACUAUAUGAAUAAGCACCGGCUAACUCCGUGCCAGCCGCCGCGGUAA
rnacentral:rRNA from 1 species